rnacentral:rRNA from 1 species
UACGAAGGGUGCAAGCGUUAAUCGGAAUUACUGGGCGUAAAGCGUGCGUAGGUGGUUUUUUAAGUCUGCUGUGAAAGCCCUGGGCUCAACCUGGGAAUGGCGGUGGAUACUGAAAAGCUAGAGUGCGGUAGAGGAGGGUGGAAUUCCCGGUGUAGCGGUGAAAUGCGUAGAGAUCGGGAGGAACAUCAGUGGCGAAGGCGGCCCUCUGGACCAGCACUGACGCUGAGGCACGAAAGCGUGGGGAGCAAACAGG